UCUACCAUAUCAUCUAAGAGGAGAUAACAUGGUCAAUGAUUCAUUCAAAUGCCUAAUAUUCUGAAUCUCAUUUCCAUAAAGAAAAAUGUGGCCUCUGUGUCUAAAGGCAAAUAUAGACCAAGGCUUAAAAGUCAAAAUUAAUUCUACUUUUUACACUCUGCUGCAUUAACUAACGAAUCAAAUACAGGCUCUCUUUUCUGAAUAUAAGAGCUUUAGAAACCAACAGAAAAGAAACUAGGAAAAUAUUUUAUCUUACAUUUACUCCAAAAGAUUUAAAAAUAAAAUUCUAUUUGCCUCUGGGGUCAAGACUAGCUAUGAGACUUUUGGAUCUUGGUUUUCUUAUAAAGUGAAAGGAUUUGACUAUACAGUCUAAGUUUCCCUCCAAAACUAACAUGCUUUCUUUCCAUUUCAGGAAUAAUAAAUCAAGUUGCGAAAGCCAGGUCAAAGCAGAGGCCAGGAACUUGGGUGAUUACAGUUAGAGGGAGCAGAAGCCCUGGCAAGUCGGCAACAGGAUCCUACCCAGGAUACCACAUUACGAUGAAUCAUCACAUCUGCCUAGGCUCCUUUUGGCUACGACGGUUUCUCAGGCUUUUCUCAUUUUUGAUGAUCUUGACAGCUUUGAGGGACAAACAAAAGCUGAGGAAAUUCAUUACCACUAGACGGGACCUACAGUACAUGCUUAAGGGAGACAUGUACUGGAAACAAAUGGACUCUAUCAUCACGAAAACACACAAAAGUAAAAAAACAAAACAAAACAAAACCUGUUAGAGGCUGGGCACGGCGGCUCACACCUGUAAUCCCAGCACUUUGGGAGGCCGAGGCGGGCGGAUCACAAGGUCAGUAUGGCAAUUUCUAAAGGAUCUAGAACUAGAAAUUCCAUUAGACCCAGCAAUCUCAUUACUGGGUAUAUACCCAACGGAAUACAAAUUAUUCUACUAUAAAGACACAUGCACAUCUAUGUUUAUUGCAGCACUAUUUACAAUAGCAAAGACAUGGAACCAACCCAGGUGGAUCACAAGGUCAGGAGAUCGAGACCAUCCUGGCUAACACGGUUAAUACAAAAAGUUAGCCAGGCAUGGUCGUGGGUGCCUGUAGUCCCAGCUACUUGGGAGGCUGAGGCAGGAGAAUGGUGUGAACCCAGGAGGCAGGACUUGCAGUGAGCCGAGAUCAUGCCACUGCACUCCAGCCUGGGUAGAUGAGUUUCUUGUAAACUAUAGUUGAGUCAUGUCUUUUUUAUUCACCAGCCAAUCUAUAUCUUUUAGGUGAAAAAUACAAAGGAUCAACAAAACAAAAAGUUAGUUUUCUGAAAAAUAACCAAAAUCAACAAACUGAAAGCCACACUAACCAAGAAAAAAAGAGAGAAGACUCAAAUAAAUAAAAUCAGAAACAAAAAAGUGACAGUAGAAUUGAUACCACAGAAAUAGAAGAGUUCAUCAGAGACUGUUAUGAACAACUAUACACUAACAAACUGGAAAGUCUAGAGAAAAUAGAUAAAUUCCUGGACACACACAACCUACCCAUUGAAUCAAGAAGAAACAGAAAACCUAAACAGACUAAUAAUGAGUAAGAAAAUUAAAUCAGUAAUUUAAAAAAAGUAUCCCCAAAAAGAAAAGUCCAGGACUGUAUAGCAUUAAUGCCAAAUUCUACCAAAUAUAAACAGAAGAACUAAAACCAAUUUUCUUUAAACUAUUCCAAAAAAACUGAUGGAACUCUUAGAACUGCUUUUGCUGUAUCUCAUUGGUUGUGGUGUAUUUUGAUUUUUAUUUGUUUGAAUAAUUUUUUGGUUUUCCUGCUUAAUUUAUACCUUGAUUUCUCAAUGUGAGAAUUUGCUGAAUUCUCCCUUACUCAUUCUGUGAUACCACAAUUACCCUGAUACUAAAACCAGACAAAGAUGCAAUAUAUAUGUAACUAAAACAUCAUGCUAUUGGUAUUUAAAAAAAACACAUAGACCAAUGGAACAGAAUAGAGAAACUAGAAAUAAGUCUACAUAUUUAUAGCCCACUGAGUUUGGACAAAGGUAUCAAGAACAUAUGUUGGGGAAAGGAUACCCUCUUCCAUAAAUGAUGCUGGGAAAAUUGGAUAGCCAUGGGCAGAAGAAUGAAAUUGGACUGCUAUUUCUCACAUUGUACACAAAUCAACUUAUAAUGGAUUAAAGACUUUAAAUGCAAGACCUGAAACUAUAGAACCACUAGAAGAAAACUUAGGGGGAAUACUUCAGGACAUUGGUCUAGGCAAAGAUUUUAGCACUAUGACCUUAAAAGUACAGUCAACAAAAACAAAAAUAGAAAAAUGAGACUAUAGUAAACUAAAAAGCUUCUUCAUAGCAAAUGAAAGAAUCAACAGAGUGAAGAAAUGAUCUGCCAAAUGGGAGAAAAUUCACAAACUAUUCAUCCAACAAGGAACCAAUAUUGAGAAUAUACAAGGAACUUGAUGUGGUUGGGCUGUGUCCCCACCCAAAUCUCAUCUUGAAUUGUAGCUCUCAUAAUCCCCACAUGUCAUGGGAGGGACCUGGUGGGAUGUAACUGAAUCAUGGGGGCAGUUUUUCUCAUGCUGUUCUCAUGACUGUGAAUAAGUCUCAGGAGGCAUGAUGGUUUUAUAAAGUGCAGUUCCCCUGCACAAGCUCUCUUGCUUGCUGCCAUAUAAGACAUGCUUUUGCUCCUCCUUCACCUUCCACCAAGAUUGUGAGGCCUCCCCAGUCAUGUGAAACCGUGAGUCCAUUAAAUCUCUUUUGCUUUAUAAAUUACCCAGUCAUGGGUGUUUCUUCAUAGCAGUAAGAAAAUGGACUAAUACAGAACUCAAAAAGCUCAACAGGAAAAAAGUAAUAAUAUGUAAUAAAAAUGUAAUCAGAUUAAUUACAUGCAACUGGUUACAAAGCGGGUAAAGGACAUGAAUAGACAUUCCUCAAAAGACAUACAAAUUGCCAAUAGGUAUCUAAAAAAUGCUCAACAUUACUAAUCAUCAGGGAAAUGCAAAUCAAAACCACAAGGAGAUGUCCUCCUACCGCAGUUAGAAUGGCUAUUAUUAAAAUGACAAGAAACAGCAAAUGCUGGUGAUGUAAAGAAAAGAGAAUUCUUACUGGUGGAAAUGUAAAUUAGUACAGCCACUAUGGAAAACAGUAUGGAGGUUUUUCAAAAAAACUAAAAAUAUAAUUACCAUAUGAUUCAGUAAUCUUGCUACUGGGUAUUUAUCCAAAGGAAAGGAGAUCAGUAUAUAAGAGACACCUGUACUCACAUCUUUAUUGAAGCACUAUUCACAAUAGCAAAUAUAUGGAAUUAACCUAACUGUCCAUCAACAGAUGAAUGGAUAAUAAAAAGUGGUAUAUAUGUACAAUGGAAUACUAUUCAGUCAUUAAAAAGUAUGAAAUCAUGUCAUUUGCAGCAACAUGGAUGGAACUGGAAGUCAUUAUGUUAAAUGAAACAAGCCAGGGUGUUUCUAUUCUGAGUUCUGUCAGGCUGUGUUUAAUAGUGUCUUGCUUUCUUACAUCUCUUCCCCAAGUUCCACUUCUUCUUCAUUGUAUACUUUUUAAAUGGCAUUUCUUCGAAAUUAAUGAAAAUUUUAUUUUUUGUAAUUUUGGUCUCCCCCAUAACAACAAUUUUCUGGGGAAUUCUCUUCUUCUUUGGGUGUUCUUUGCUGUUCUUUUCUUCCCCUUUUGGUCGCAUCUUUGUAUAGAUGUUGUAUAUAAAAGGUUCUAGUCCCUUUUCUAAAAUACCAUUCAUAUGACUGGGUGUUUUUGAGCCAGCUAUCUGCAAGAGAUUUUUGUAGGAGGAGUGAAGCCUGUGUAAGAUUCCAAAUUUGUUGCUUUCCACAAAGCACACAUUCAUUCUCUGCUCCUCAGCCUCCUCAUGCAACUGCUUCCUGCAAAAUUUUAUUUCUAUGCAGUUCUACAUUUAGGCCACCUCUUUUGCUUUGCUUUACUGUGUUACAUCAUUUUCGUACUGUCUUUUUUUUUCCCAAUUUUUCCCUCAAGGUGAGCAAACACUUUCUCAGACUUUACUUUUGUUAGAACUUUUCCAAGUCUGCUGCCACUGAGUUCUGUUGUUGGGAGCCUUUGCUAAUAGUUGUUGUAUCUAUAUUAUAUUUUCUUAUGCCCUUGACCUCUGAAGAUUACAGCUGCCUAUUGCCAAGAGCUAGUAGCUAUUUUCCUAAGGCACCAACUGAAAUGGAUUUAAUGUAUUCAUCUAAAACAGUGCCAAAUUUGUUUUUAUAGAUGUAACUGUUCCCAAUAUUCUCAGGCUAGUUACUCAAAGAGCAGAGCCUGAGGCAUAAGCCUAUGUGGUAUUGCUUUAUUAAGCAAUGGGAUCUCAUGCACCAGGAGUUUGAGAAAGAAAGCAAGGAAUGGGAAGAGACAAUGCAAAAGUGCAUUCCUGGCUGGCUACCACUUCACAUCAAGCAAGCCUGACUGUUCAUAUUUUGUUACUGUCUUUUGAGAGCCCCUUUCUGAAGCUUUUAUUAUAGUUGGUACAUAGAAGAAACAAAAAUAUCCACUGACUUCCAUUGCUAAAAGGCUUGCUCCAAAAGGGGGUUAAUUUUCUCACCUUACAAGUUGCACAUGCAUGGGCACUGCUAUGGUGUGAAUAUUUGUGUUCCGUCCAAAAUUCAUGUUGACACUUAACUGCCAAUGAAACAAUAUUAAAAGGUGUGGUCUCUGAGAAGUAAUUAGGCCAUAAGGGCCCCACCCACAAGGAUGGACUUCUGCUUUUAUUAAGAAGCUGGAGGGAACUAUUUAGGCUGUUUUGUCCUUUCACCUUUCACCAUUUGAGGACUCAGCAUUCAAGGCACCAUCUUGGAAGCAGAGACCAGACCCUCAUCAGACACAAAACCUGCCAUUGUCUUCAUUUUGGACUUCCAGCCUCUAGACCUAUAAGAAAUAAAUUUCUGUUCUUUAUAGAUUACCCAGUCUCAGGUAUUUUGUGAUAGCAGCACUGACGGACCAAGACAGCACAAAGCUCAGACUGCUAUUCUUACUAAACUUCAGAGUCAACAGAGAAGCACCAAUAACAGUACAGGUGGGCAAACAGAAAUCUCUAUUAUAUGGUGGCUGCAGGACGUUAGUUGCUGAGAUUCGGAUGGCCACAGGUUCUGCUUUACAGACAGAGUCCCAGUUUAGGUCUGUGGUGGCACUGUAGUAUUAAAAGCACUUAGGUUUUCUCUAAAACCUCUUUUUAAUUUUUUUUUCCUUUUUGAACUUGCUUUUUUUAUUAUUAUUAUUAUUAUGCUUUAAGUUUUAGGGUACAUGUGCACAACGUGCAGGUUUGUUACAUAUGUAUACAUGUGCCAUGUUGGUGUACUGCACCCAUUAAUGCAUCUAGGUAUAUUGCCUAAUGCUAUCCCUCCCCCCUCCCCCCAACCCACAACAGGCCCCGGUGUGUGACAUUCCCCUGCCUGUGUCCAUGUGUUCUCAUUGUUCAAUUCCCA
rnacentral:lncRNA from 1 species